CCAGAGAAUUUAGCAGAGAUGCUUUAGUGCCUUCGGGAACUCUGAGACAGGUGCUGCAUGGCUGUCGUCAGCUCGUGUUGUGAAAUGUUGGGUUAAGUCCCGCAACGAGCGCAACCCUUAUCCUUUGUUGCCAGCACGUAAUGGUGGGAACUCAAAGGAGACUGCCGGUGAUAAACCGGAGGAAGGUGGGGAUGACGUCAAGUCAUCAUGGCCCUUACGAGUAGGGCUACACACGUGCUACAAUGGCGCAUACAAAGAGAAGCGACCUCGCGAGAGCAAGCGGACCUCAUAAAGUGCGUCGUAGUCCGGAUUGGAGUCUGCAACUCGACUCCAUGAAGUCGGAAUCGCUAGUAAUCGUAAAUCAGAAUGUUACGGUGAAUACGUUCCCGGGCCUUGUACACACCGCCCGUCACACCAUGAGAGUGGGUUGCAAAAGAAGUAGAUAGCUUAACCUUCGGGAGGGCGUUUACCACUUUGUGAUUCAUGACUGGGGUGAAGUCGUAACAAGGUAAGCGUAGUGCU
rnacentral:rRNA from 1 species